GCUUACUUUCCAAAACCGCAUCCCUUGAUUCAUGUUGCCUUCUUGCUAUCGGUCGAACUCCACCAUGUUUUCUCUGCUGUUAUGGAUCAUCUGUGCACUUAUUCCUUUCCUAGAUGAGCUCAUUUUAGCACAAGAUGUGUCUCUUGAUCAAGGUGGAUGGGCUAGUGAAGGUUGUUCUGUAAGGUGGAAGCCAUCCGAAGAUCCAUCUCAAGUAAUUGUGAAGGUGAAUGAAUGUUGAUACGAGCACGAUCAUGACGAUGGAUGUUUUUGAGUAUUUUGAAUGCAACCGAGGGAGUGUGCAAAUUGAAGUGUGAAGAAGGGCCUUGGUGUGCAUAAAUUCACCCCAAAACACAAUCCAUGGGCGCCAAUUUUGUGCCCUUUUCAUUAAAGGACUCUUUUGUCUUUUUACCUCUUAUUGUAAUAAGUCUAUAAAUAGUGUAUGAUAGGGUUUUAGUUCAUUAGUUAUUGAAUAUUGAUGAAAGAACACUUCUCUUGAGAGAGAUCCUCCCUAGGCUGAAACUAGGACAUGAGCAAAUGUGGACUCACUUGUGAAUGUGUAUUGCUUGGAAACGAUGGUGCUUGAGCAGUGGAAUCUCUCUCAUGUCUUUGUAAGAGUGUGGUGUUGCUAUUGUAAGUCUUAGGGGUCCUUAGAUAUAAUAUAUCUUUGGGUUCUUGGGUCUUAUUGUAGUGUAUGUCUCACUAACUAUCUCUACAUUUCAUGUCUUAGUUAGUGUUAUCUAGGGAAACCGUUAGUUCUUGUAAUCUUGUAAUCGUUGAAUUGUUGUUAUCCUAUUGCGGUUCUUCUUAUUAUAAUGUUGUUUAUCCCUUGUUAUUGUUAGUCAUUUACACCUUGUUUCUUGUUGUUGUUGGAGCUGAGAAUUGUGUUUGUGUUGCUCUCGAGUUUCCCUUUGUUUGUGGACUGUUUUGACUUCUUUUUGAUAUGAUCCAAGUUUUUAUCGUAUCAUCUUGGUAUUGGCUCGAUCUUGUUCCUACAAGAUCAAUCUUGGGCUUGCUUGUUAGAAAAUCAAAAAACAAAUUGUUCAAAAAAGAUUGAAAAUUUCAGAAAAUAACAAUCUGUCCAUUGUUGUUGUCUUGGCCGAAAUUGUGUUCUUGUGGUGUUCUUGGCCGAGAUUUGUUCUUGGGUCUAGGUCUAAGAGCCUUUAUUUGUCUUGUGUGUGUUUUUAGUGUUAGUUUUGUUCUUCACUAACACUGUGAGUCGAUCUUGAUUUGAGCUUAUAUUUGUUGAUGUUGUUGAUGUGAACUUGAGCCUUGACUGAAUUGUUGUUGAACAUUGUGUUGUGGUUUUCACCUUGGCCUUGUGUUGUUGUUAAGGAUUGGUGGCUUAAGAGCUUUUUGUUGAAAUUGUUGAAGCCUUGGCCGUAUGGUUAACUUUGUUGUUGUAGUUGGAUGUUGGUUGUGUUGUUGGUGUUCUUGAAAGUUGUUGUUGUGUUCUUGUUGAUUCUUCACCCAUUCAUCUUUUGUUAAAACAAGAAAAGUUAACUUUAGAUCUACAAAAGAUGAAAGAUAAUUUGUAGUAUUUGUUGGUGAAAGGUCUAGAUUCACAUCACUCUUGACUUGACAACAACUUUUCAACCACUUUUCCAUGAUUUAAGGACCCUUGUUUUAAGAAAAAGUACAAAGAAAGCCAAGUUUUCCUUUUUCAAAUUUGAAAAGGGAUUUCAAGACUUAUAUUUCCCUCCUUAACAAAUUCCCACUAAUUUCAAAUUGCAAAGUGAUCAAGACUUUAAAUUGGUGAAUAAAAUGGCGCCAAAACCGUGACCAAUAGUGUGCUGCCACGACAUCACUUUUACUGUUCACGCAACAUAUUUUAAGCUCAAAUUUUGAUCUCUUAGUUUCAUUUUGUGGUGUCUUUAGUGUCAUUUUUUUAUUCCAAUUUUAACUUACAAGCUAGUGACCAUUUACUAGAUUGUGAGUUGGUUUUGAAACUGUUAUUCGUAUUUACGUCUUUGUGUGUUUUUCUUAUUCUUUGGAGUCAUUGUAAACAUUUGGUUCACCUCUCAAUACCUCUCGAAGUACAAGCAAGCAUACAACACUUGUGGGAUUAAGUGUGAGGAAUCUGAGAACAAAGAAAUAAAGGGAGAGUGUGAAGACCUUUCUUUUACAACUAACUCAUUUUUUGUUUUGUAGUGAAACUUCUUGGCUAAACUCAAUUGAGCCAGAUUAUAUUGAAGGCAAAUCUCAAGAUGGAGAGGAAUCCAAGAUGCAAAAUGAAGGCGUUGGCCAAGACUUGAAAUUUUUGUGUUCUCGGUUUCUUCUUAUUUUGUGGACUGAUUUGGUUUAGUUGUGCUGUGAAUUUGAGGUCAAAUUCCUCUAAAGAUGGAGAGGAUGAUACGAGCACGAUUAUGACGAUGGAUGUUUUUGAGCAUUUUAAAUGCAACCGAGGGAGUGUGCAAAUCGAAGUGUGAAGAAGGGUCUUGGUGUGCACAAAGCCACCCUAAAACACACUCCAUGGGCGCCUAUUUUGUGCUCUUUUCAUUAAAGGGCUCUUUUGUCUUUUACCUCUUGUUGUAAUAAGUUUAUAAAUAGUACAUGAUAGGUUUUUAGUUCAUUAGUUAUUGAUUAUUGAUGAAAGAACACUUCUCUUGAGAGAGAUCCUCCCUAGGCUGAAACUAGGACAUGAGCAAGUGUGGACUCACUUGUGAAUGUGUAUUGCUUGGAAACGAUGGUGCUUGAGCAGGGGAAUCUCUCUCGUGUCUUUGUAAAAGUGUGGUGUUGCUAUUGUAAAUCUUAGGGGUCCUUAGAUUUAAUAUAUCUUUGGGUUCUUGGGUCUUAUUGUAGUGUAUGUUUCACUAGCUAUCUCUACAUUUCAUGCCUUAGUUAGUGUUAUCUAGGGAAACCAUUAGUUCUUGUUGUUCUUGUAAUAUUGUAAUCGUUGGAUUAUUGUUAUCCUAUUGUGGCUUUUCUUAUUAUAAUGUUGUUUAUCCCUUGUUAUUGUUAGUCAUUUACACCUUGUUUCUUGUUGUUGUUGGAGCCGAGAAUUGUGUUUGUGUUGCUCUCAAGUUUUCUUUUAUUUGUGGACUGUUUUGACUUCUUUUUUAUACGAUCCAAGUUUUUAUCGUAUCAAAUAUCCAUGGUCUUGAUAAUUCAAGAAUGGUUGUGCUUUACUUUUAUGUCAUCGAGUCCUGGGGGUAU